rnacentral:tRNA from 1 species
GCCCAGAUAGCUCAGUCGGUAGAGCAGGGGACUGAAAAUCCCCGUGUCGGGGGUUCGAUUCCGCCUCUGGGCACCA